rnacentral:rRNA from 1 species
UACAGAGGGGGCAAGCGUUAUUCGGAAUUAUUGGGCGUAAAGGGCGCGUAGGCGGCUUGGCAAGUGGAUGGAUGAAAUCCCUCGGCUUAACCGAGGAACUGCCGUCCAAACUGCUUCGCUUGAGACCGGGAGGAGGUGAGUGGAAUUCCCAGUGUAGCGGUGAAAUGCGUAGAUAUUGGGAGGAACACCAGUGGCGAAGGCGGCUCACUGGACCGGUACUGACGCUGAGGUGCGAAAGCGAUGGGGAGCAAAGCAGGGAUUAAGAAACCCGGUUGUAACGUCCGAGCAACCAACGAUCUCUGCUACCGUA